rnacentral:rRNA from 1 species
AUACGGAGGGUGCAAGCGUUAAUCGGAAUUACUGGGCGUAAAGCGUACGUAGGCGGUUAUUUAAGUCAGAUGUGAAAGCCCCGGGCUUAACUUGGGAACUGCAUUUGAAACUGGGUAACUAGAGUUUAGUAGAGGGGAGUGGAAUUUCAGGUGUAGCGGUGAAAUGCGUAGAGAUCUGAAGGAACACCAGUGGCGAAGGCGACUCCCUGGACUAAAACUGACGCUGAGGUACGAAAGCGUGGGUAGCAAACAGGAUUAGAAACCCGAGUAGUCC